GAUGAACGCUGGCGGCGUGCCUAAUACAUGCAAGUCGAGCGAACAGACGAGGAGCUUGCUCCUCUGACGUUAGCGGCGGACGGGUGAGUAACACGUGGAUAACCUACCUAUAAGACUGGGAUAACUUCGGGAAACCGGAGCUAAUACCGGAUAAUAUAUUGAACCGCAUGGUUCAAUAGUGAAAGACGGUUUUGCUGUCACUUAUAGAUGGAUCCGCGCCGCAUUAGCUAGUUGGUAAGGUAACGGCUUACCAAGGCAACGAUGCGUAGCCGACCUGAGAGGGGGACCGGCCACACUGGAACUGAGCCACGGUCCAGACUCCUACGGGAGGCAGCAGUAGGGAAUCUUCCGCAAUGGGCGAAAGCCUGACGGAGCAACGCCGCGUGAGUGAUGAAGGUCUUCGGAUCGUAAAACUCUGUUAUUAGGGAAGAACAAAUGUGUAAGUAACUAUGCACGUCUUGACGGUACCUAAUCAGAAAGCCACGGCUAACUACGUG
rnacentral:rRNA from 1 species